rnacentral:tRNA from 1 species
CAGGAAAUAGUUUAAUGAAAAUUUUAAUUUUGGAGAUUAAAGAAAAAGUAGAUAUCUUUUUUCCUGA